GACGAAGGUGGCGACCGUUGUUCGGAAUCACUGGGCAUAAAGAGCUCGUAGGCAGUGAGAAAAGUCGGGUGUGAAAUCCCUCGGCCCAACCGAGGAACUGCGCUCGAAACUGUCUUGCUUGAGGACCGAAGGGGACCACGGAAUUCCUGGUGGAGCGGUGAAAUGCGUUGAUAUCAGGAGGAACACCGGCGGCGAAGGCGGUGGUCUGGUCGGUUUCUGACGCUGAGGAGCGAAAGCCAGGGGAGCAAACGGG
rnacentral:rRNA from 1 species